UUGAAACUAUCGUGUAAACAGUUUCUCAAAUGAAUUAAAAAUAAAAUAGGUGUAGGUUAAGAUUAAAUGGUUACGUUGGGAAUCGAAUACCCAUAACAGGUAGUCAUAUUAAUUAAGGCGUGUGUAGAGAGGAAUCUACUAAAGCGAAAGAAAAAUACAAUGUUAAAAGGAAUGAAUAUUAAUUAGAUAGUGUACAGUUAUUAUUCCUAUGAUUCAUCAAACCAUUUAGUCAAUUCUUCUGAUAAUUCGUCAAAUUCGUUUUUCCAGUAUAGUAAGCUAGAACCAGAUUCUUCAUAAACAUCACGUACAAUGUAACCGUCCAUCUCAGCUUGAUAAAGUCUUUCUAACGUUACACCAAUGGACCAAUGCAACCUCAUUGCACAUUUCAAAGCCGUAGUGCUAGGAUUCAUAACUUCCAAUAUAGCGGACAAAAGUUUUCCUGAAUGAUUAGAAGUUUUUAAUUGAAAAAGGAUAAGCCCAGAGUUCAUUUUGGACGUUGUUAUACCAACCUCCAUGGAAUCUAUUAGUUCACAAGCCUUCACAAAUCUGGUCGGAGGAAUCAGGUUUGCUUUUCUUGACCGAUUAUAGAUGGCCCAAGCCUGGGUCAUGGUAACCGUAUCGGUAUCAGCUUUUAACCUUGUGCGUAAAACUUCUGAGAUACUUUUACAUAGUUCAAUAUCAUACAAUCGAGAAUUAGCCGAAACAGGAACAUUAUCUAAAUGAUUUCCUCGUAACACUCCUAACUGAUUCGAUUUGUUUAAAAGCUGCUGUACCUUGUCAGACUGUUGAGUGCCGGUCAGCCCAUCCAUCUUUUCAGCAAA